rnacentral:rRNA from 1 species
AGUGCUCGAAAGAGAACCUGCACACAGGUGCUGCAUGGCUGUCGUCAGCUCGUGUCGUGAGAUGUUGGGUUAAGUCCCGCAACGAGCGCAACCCUUGCCAUUAGUUGCUACGAAAGGGCACUCUAAUGGGACUGCCGGUGACAAACCGGAGGAAGGUGGGGAUGACGUCAAGUCCUCAUGGCCCUUAUAGGUGGGGCUACACACGUCAUACAAUGGCCGGUACAGAGGGUAGCCAACCCGCGAGGGGGAGCCAAUCCCACAAAGCCGGUCGUAGUCCGGAUCGCAGUCUGCAACUCGACUGCGUGAAGUCGGAAUCGCUAGUAAUCGCGGAUCAGCAUGUCGCGGUGAAUACGUUCCCGGGUCUU